GCUGAGGAGUUGAUGAGACUGCUGCACAUUUCAUUAGCAGUUGGAGGACAUUAGAUGUACCCUUGAAGUGCAGCUGCCCAACUGCCUUGCAUCUGAAAGAGCACUCUUCAAGAGCACUCUGCGACAUGAACAGAAGCACACCUGAAGAAAUUGAAAUGACUGGAGGAGAUGGGUGCUGAUGACUGAAAUGUUCCUCCAUCAUGUCUUCCAGCUUGCACCGGGUAAGAAAAUUUGAUGCUUUGUUCUUGUAUAAACUCUUUGUUGGAUUUUAAAGCAACCACUCGGGCAUCAGCAAUAACUAAGCUGGAGAAGUUUCAAAUGUGCAGCUGGGCAAAAAAACUUUUUCCCAUCCUGAAAAGCAUCCUGAGAUUUCGAUAUUUCCCACUGGAAUAAAACCAAGACCUUGUUGAGGUUUUAGGCAGGGAGAUAUGCAAAGUGGGGCUUUGCACCUGAGCCUGCCACCUUCCCCCUCAAGCACUUGCUCUGCGUCUGUCUGACUAUGCUUUCUCC